AACGAACGCUGGCGGCAUGCCUAACACAUGCAAGUCGAACGAGACCUUCGGGUCUAGUGGCGCACGGGUGCGUAACGCGUGGGAACCUGCCCUUAGGUUCGGAAUAACUCCCCGAAAGGGGUGCUAAUACCGGAUAAUGUCUUCGGACCAAAGAUUUAUCGCCUUUGGAUGGGCCCGCGUUGGAUUAGCUAGUUGGUAGGGUAAAAGCCUACCAAGGCGACGAUCCAUAGCUGGUCUGAGAGGAUGAUCAGCCACACUGGGACUGAGACACGGCCCAGACUCCGACGGGAGGCAGCAGUGGGGAAUAUUGGACAAUGGGCGAAAGCCUGAUCCAGCAAUGCCGCGUGAGUGAUGAAGGCCUUAGGGUUGUAAAGCUCUUUUACCCGGGAUGAUAAGGACAGUACCGGGAGAAUAAGCUCCGGCUAACUCCGU
rnacentral:rRNA from 1 species